UGCAAAUGAUGCUUUUCUCACGAUGGUCUUCCAAGCCUUUCAGGUUCUGACGACAUUGCCUUAUGGCUUCACUGAUGCAGUCAA